GAAUUUUGGACAAUGGGCGAAAGCCUGAUCCAGCAAUGCCGCGUGCAGGAUGAAGGCCUUCGGGUUGUAAACUGCUUUUGUACGGAACGAAAAGCUUUGGGUUAAUACCCUGGAGUCAUGACGGGACCGGAAGAAUAAGAACCGGCUAAACACGUGCCACAAGCCGCGGUAAUGCGUAGGGUGCAACCGUUAAGCGGAAUUACGUGGCGUAAGCGUGCGUAGGCGGUUUUGUAAGACAGAGGUGAAAUCCCCGGGCUCAACCUGGGAACUGCCUUUGUGACUGCAAGGCUAGAGUACGGCAGAGGGGGGUGGAAUUCCGCGUGUAGCAGUGAAAUGCGUCGAUAUGCGGAGGAACACCGAUGGCGAAGGCAACCCCCUGGGCCUGUACUGACGCUCAUGCACGAAAGCGUGGGGAGCAAAC
rnacentral:rRNA from 1 species